rnacentral:lncRNA from 1 species
UUUUCUAGAGAAUAGUCAUUUCCUCCAGCCUCCUUCUCUUCAGGCCACACCCCUUUCCCCCUGGCCUCUGGAACUCCAGGGCACUUCACCAGGCCUGAGACAACUGUGAGCAAGAGAGGCUGAGCCAGGAGCUGAGAAUCUACAGUGUUCUCUUCCCUCUGCUUGUCUUUCUCUUCUCCAGUGAUCUCUGGGCUUUCUGGACUGAGCUUAGUACUAGAAACAGACAGAGCAGAUGCAGAUCCACCUGUCCAGAACAAGUGAAAGGCAUAGCCAUGAGCAGUGUAGCAUACACUAUGCUCGAGAGGACAUCAAGGAACAUCAGAGACAGAGGCCAGCAUCAGUUGCACAAGACAUGGCUUUAUGAAUCCUAGACCAGCAGUGGAUGUCUUAUUGCUUGCCAACUUGUGUCCCAUGAGGCUCUACAACCUGGCAAGGAAUUAGUCACAACUCCAUGGAAGGAAGGUGCUGCCACCAAGAGCUGAUCAUCAUGAAAUGAGGUCACAGCAUGGUUGCUCACCCCAGGUCAGUCUGCCUUUGAUUUCUACCAUUGCUUUUCAUCAUUGGAGUGAC